rnacentral:rRNA from 1 species
GACGAACGCUGGCGGCGUGCCUAAUACAUGCAAGUUGAGCGAUGAAGAUUGGUGCUUGCACCAAUUUGAAGAGCAGCGAACGGGUGAGUAACGCGUGGGGAAUCUGCCUUUGAGCGGGGGACAACAUUUGGAAACGAAUGCUAAUACCGCAUAACAACUUUAAACAUAAGUUUUAAGUUUGAAAGAUGCAAUUGCAUCACUCAAAGAUGAUCCCGCGUUGUAUUAGCUAGUUGGUGAGGUAAAGGCUCACCAAGGCGAUGAUACAUAGCCGACCUGAGAGGGUGAUCGGCCACGCUGGGACGGAGACACGGCCCAAACUCCUACGGGAGGCAGCAGUAGGGAAUCUUCGGCGAUGGACGAAAGUCUGACCGAGCAACGCCGCGUGAGUGAAGAAGGUUUUCGGAUCGUAAAACUCUGUUGGUAGAGAAGAACGUUGGUGAGAGUGGAAAGCUCAUCAAGUGACGGUAACUACCCAGAAAGGGACGGCUAACUACGUG